GCUACUGUAGGUACAGUAAAAUAGUGGGGGAAUGUCAAAACUGUCAGAAGUGUUGUUGAUGUUGAUUUCUUGAAUCUUCUUGUUUAUGUUGUGGGUUGUGGGAAUUAUUUUCCAUGUUCAAAACAUAAAUUGUUCAAAAUAAAAGCUAUGGCUAUGAACCCCAAUAAUGUAGCAGCCAUGAUAGUGGCAAACACCGUUUCCGUUUUAUUAUUAACUGAUGAUGAGGAAGAUGACCUGGACCAAGAAGACUUUUAUAUUGCCCAAUUACAGGCUUAAAGACAGGCCCCUAUUCGCGUUCCAAAUUAUUUGGAAAACGUGAUAAACCUAUAUUCCGAAGAGGAAUUUAGGAUGCAUUUCAGGAACCACAUUAAAAACACACACUGACACUGUACCACCAUAUGAACCACAAGGGUACCACUUCCUUCCGACCUACUUCUUCCGAUGGCGAAACAAGACUGACUGUACUGAAGUACCUUCCAAGUGAAGCCCGAACCCCCUCCCCUCCACCCCCCCGAAAGACUGCACGCUGUCAGUAGAGGGAGGUGCGCGCGUCCUUACUUUCACUUUUCGCGCGUAUUAUAAGUUACUUUAUUUCUUAGUCCAGUAAGAUUAAAAUUAAAUUCAAAAUUAUUUAUUA